rnacentral:lncRNA from 1 species
CCCUAUUGUGUUAGAUAUCUGGACUUGAAUAUCUGACAUCUCCACCACGGGGAUAAUCAUGCAUUGCUAAUACUCACUAUAGUUUAAGCUUAAUAAAACCAUUUUUAUAGAAAAUUAGUCCAAAGUAACAUGUGAUUAGAAAGCAAGUCAAGGCUGAAUGAAGGUUCAACUUGGUCAGGCUCCAGUCUUAAAAGGUUGAUGCCUUUGGCAAGGUCACCCCAC